GGGAAAUGUUUUCAGUUUGUUGCUGAAGUGAGACACAGAAUGGAGGAAGAGGUUUUUUUUUUUUUUUAGAAGAUCUCUGGCAACGUGGAAGGAUGAGGACCUUUGCUGCUGUUCUUCUGCGUUUUACUACAAAAAGUUCUCGGAAGUUUUCGAAAGUUUCAAAAUUUCCAAAAGUAAAGAGAGGCGGAUGAAUACACACAGGAUCAGCGUGUACACAAUUUCAACAAGCAAACGGCUUUUUCUUCCCCGAGCAUCUAGUCGAUUGACGAGACACUCUUGUCAGCUGCAGAAGAGCCGUCAGUGAAAUGUCAGCAUGGCCUGUGGCAUCCGAAGCUCUCAACUGGCAGGUGGUCAAUGAAGAUGUCAUGCUGUUGGGGCUUGGAUGUAAAGGCGGGUGUCUGACAAGGAAUCUUCAAAACUUCAGGAAUCGUAUGUGCAAACAUCUUUACCUUGACAUGCUAAUGGAUGCAUGUUCAUGUAUUUUAUAAGAAAAGCAACUGCAUUCAGUGAAGAAAUAGAUU